UACGUAGGGUGCAAGCGUUAAUCGGAAUUACUGGGCGUAAAGGGCGCGUAGGCGGCCAGCACAAGUCAGUUGUGAAAUCUCCGAGCUUAACUCGGAAAGGUCAACUGAUACUGUGCGGCUAGAGUGCGGAAGGGGCAACUGGAAUUCUUGGUGUAGCGGUGAAAUGCGUAGAUAUCAAGAGGAACACCUGCGGCGAAGGCGGGUUGCUGGGCCGACACUGACGCUGAGGCGCGAAAGCCAGGGGAGCGAACGGG
rnacentral:rRNA from 1 species